rnacentral:lncRNA from 1 species
UUUGUUGAAAAAGUUAUUCAAUUUUAUUUAAUAGUAUAUAAAAUGAAUAUACAGCAUUAAAAUCAUUCACAGGUUAAUAAAAUUAAAAACCAUCUAUAGAAAAACAAUAAACAACAAAGUCAACAACUAUUUUACAUAAAUAAAAACAAUAACGCUGACAGUGAUAUAAGUGUUCUAAAUAUGAGGUUCCUAAGAGGGUACCUAGUCAAAAUUACCAAAACUUACAUGUAUCAUGUAUAUUGUACUAUAUAUCCAAACUAUAUGAUUAAAAAAGCAAUAAAAUGUUUGUCAUAGUAAUAACAAAUUGAAGGACAAUAAAUUUUGGUUAAUUACGUACAAGAAGGUAUCAAUACCCUUUACCAUCAGGCGUCAAACAGUCAUUUUCGGCAAGUGGUAGCAUCAAAUUAGUUGUAAUUUUAACGUGAUUCCUCAAAUUUUCCUUUUCCUGAAUGAGGCGAGGUCUCAAAUAAAGAUCUUUAUUAUUACUUUUGGAAAAAUAUUCACAUGAUUCAUAAAAAAAUCAGUCUAUUUUUUAUGGUGUUACAGAAAAAGUACAUUUUAUCGUCAUGUACCAAAAAUUACAGUU